UACCCGCUGAACUUAAGCAUAUCAAUAAGCGGAGGAAAAGAAACCAACAGGGAUUGCCUCAGUAACGGCGAGUGAAGCGGCAAAAGCUCAAAUUUGAAAUCUGGCAGCCUCGCUGUCCGAGUUGUAAUUUGAAGAUUUCUCUUUGUGAGAGGCGCCUUGUCUAUGUUCCUUGGAACAGGACGUCGCAGAGGGUGAGAAUCCCGUGUGAUGAGGCCGCCGAUCCGUGUAAAGAGUCAUCGACGAGUCGAGUUGUUUGGGAAUGCAGCUCUAAGUGGGUGGUAAACUCCAUCUAAAGCUAAAUAUUGGCGAGAGACCGAUAGCGAACAAGUACAGUGAUGGAAAGAUGAAAAGAACUUUGAAAAGAGAGUGAAAAAGUACGUGAAAUUGUUGAAAGGGAAGGUUAUUAGAUCAGACUUGGCGGCGCGCCAUACCUGUCCUCUUGUAGGGCGGACACUGGCGCGUGUUUGCUGGGCCAGCAUCGAUUCGGGCGGCGGGACAUGGUCCUGUGGGAUGUGGCUGUUUAACACAGUGUUAUAACCACGGGUCUCUGCCGCCUGCCUGGAUCGAGGACUGCGUCUGUUUACAGACUAGGAUGCUGGCGUAAUGAUCUAAUAUCGCCCGUCUUG
rnacentral:rRNA from 1 species